AUUGAACGCUGGCGGCAGGCUUAACACAUGCAAGUCGAGCGAGCCGCGGACGGGUGAGUAAUGUCUGGGAAUCUGCCUGAUGGAGGGGGCUAACUACUGGAAACGGUAGCUACUCCCGCAUACCAUCAGAUGUGCCCAGAUGGGAUUAGCUAGUAGGUUGGGUAAUGGCUCACCUAGGCGACGAGCCCUAGCUGGUCUGAGAGGAUGACAAGCCACACGGGAACUGAGACCCGUUCCAGACUCCUACGUGAGGCAGCAGUGGGGAAUAUGGCACAAUGGGCGCAAGCCUGAUGCAGCCAUGCCGCGUGUGUGAAGAAGGCCUUAGGGUUGUAAAGCACGUUCAGCGGGGAGGCGUUACUCGCAGAAGAAGCACCGGCUAACUCCGUGCCAGCAGCCGCGGUAAUAC
rnacentral:rRNA from 1 species